UACGUAGGGGGCAAGCGUUGUCCGGAAUUAUUGGGCGUAAAGAGCGCGUAGGCGGUCCGAUAAGUCGGCUGUGAAAGUCGGGGGCUCAACCCUCGAAUGCCGGUGGAUACUGUCGGGCUAGAGUGCGGAAGAGGCGAGUGGAAUUCCUGGUGUAGCGGUGAAAUGCGCAGAUAUCAGGAGGAACACCAAUUGCGAAGGCAGCUCGCUGGGACGUAACUGACGCUGAGACGCGAAAGCGUGGGGAGCAAACAGG
rnacentral:rRNA from 1 species